AUUGAACGCUGGCGGUAGGCCUAACACAUGCAAGUCGAACGCGAAAGUCCUUCGGGAUGAGUAGAGUGGCGGACGGGUGAGUAACGCGUAGGAAUCUAUCCUGUAGUGGGGGAUAACGUUUCGAAAGGAACGCUAAUACCGCAUACGCCCCAAGGGGGAAAGCGGGGGAUCUUCGGACCUCGUGCUAUAGGAGGAGCCUGCGUCGGAUUAGCUAGUUGGUGAGGUAAAGGCUCACCAAGGCGACGAUCCGUAGCUGGUCUGAGAGGAUGAUCAGCCACACCGGAACUGAGACACGGUCCGGACUCCUACGGGAGGCAGCAGUGGGAAAUAUUGCGCAAUGGCCGAAAGCCUGACGCAGCCAUACCGCGUGUGUGAAGAAGGCCUUCGGGUUGUAAAGCACUUUCAGUGGGGAGGAAAAGCUGGUGACUAAUAUCCAUCGGCCGUGACGCUACCCACAGAAGAAGCACCGGCUAAUUCCGUGCCAGCCGCCGCCGUAACAC
rnacentral:rRNA from 1 species